UACGAAGGGGGCUAGCGUUGCUCGGAAUUACUGGGCGUAAAGGGCGCGUAGGCGGAUAUCUAAGUUGGGGGUGAAAUCCCGGGGCUCAACCUCGGAAUUGCCUUCAAAACUGGAUAUCUUGAGUUCGGGAGAGGUGAGUGGAACUCCGAGUGUAGAGGUGAAAUUCGUAGAUAUUAGGAAGAACACCAGUGGCGAAGGCGGCUCACUGGUCCGGUACUGACGCUGAGGUGCGAAAGCGUGGGGAGCAAACAGG
rnacentral:rRNA from 1 species